GGAUCCAGACUUUGAUCAUGGCUCAGGAUGAACGCUGGCGGCGCAUUUAAGACAUGCAAGUCGAACGAAAAUUUACGCUUAAAGAGUUGAUUAGUUUACUAAGAGAUGAUUUAUUGUAAAUUUUAGUGGCGGACUGGUGAGUAAUACAUAGGUAAUCUGCCUUUUAGAGGGGAAUAACUAGGAGAAAUCCUAGCUAAUACCGCGUAAGACCACACUUAGGCAUCUAAGAGAGGUCAAAGGAGUAAUCCGCUAAAAGAUGAGCCUGUGGCUGAUUAGUUAGUUGGUGGGGUAAGAGCCUACCAAGACGAUGAUCAGUAGCCGAGCUGAGAGGCUGGCCGGCCACAUUGGGACUGAGAUACGGCCCAGACUCCUACGGGAGGCAGCAGUUGGGAAUAUUGGACAAUGGAGGAAACUCUGAUCCAGUGACGCCGCGUGAAGGAAGAAGGUCUUCGGAUUGUAAACUUAUUUUAUCAGGGAAGAAGAAAGUGACAGUACCUGAAGAAAAAGGACCGGCAAACUACGUGCCAGCAGCCGCGGUAAUACGUAGGGUCCAAGCGUUAUCCGGAUUUACUGGGUGUAAAGGGCGAGUAGACGGCGCUGUAAGUCAGCUGUGAAAACUUAGGGCUCAACCUUAAGCCUGCAGCUGAAACUGUAGUGCUAGAGUGCAGGAGAGGUAAGCGGAAUUCCUAGUGUAGCGGUGAAAUGCGUAGAUAUUAGGAGGAACACCAGUGGCGAAGGCGGCUUACUGGACUGUAACUGACGUUGAGGCGCGAAAGUGUGGGGAGCAAACAGGAUUAGAUACCCUGGUAGUCCACACCGUAAACGAUGGAUACUAGGUGUAGGCGAGAUAUCGUCUGUGCCGGCGCAAACGCAAUAAGUAUCCCACCUGGGGAGUACGGCCGCAAGGUUGCAACUCAAAUGAAUUGACG
rnacentral:rRNA from 1 species